UACGAACUGUGCGAACGUUAUUCGGAAUCACUGGGCUUAAAGGGUGCGUAGGCGGCGAUCCAAGUCAGAUGUGAAAUGCCUGAGCUCAACUGAGGCAUUGCGUUUGAAACUGAAUUGCUAGAGUAUUUCAGGGGUGCGCGGAACUGCCAGUGGAGCGGUGAAAUGUGUUGAUAUUGGCAGGAACACCGGAGGCGAAAGCGGCACACUGGGGAAUAACUGACGCUGAGGCACGAAGGCCAGGGGAGCGAACGGG
rnacentral:rRNA from 1 species